CACGUAGGGCGCGAGCGUUGUCCGGAAUUAUUGGGCGUAAAGAGCUCGUAGGCGGCCUGUUGCGUCCGCUGUGAAAGCCCGGGGCUUAACCCCGGGUCGGCAGUGGAUACGGGCAGGCUAGAGGUAGGUAGGGGAGAAUGGAAUUCCCGGCGUAGCGGUGAAAUGCGCAGAUAUCGGGAGGAACACCGGUGGCGAAGGCGGUCCUCUGGGCCUUACCUGACGCUGAGGAGCGAAAGCGUGGGGAGCGAACAGG
rnacentral:rRNA from 1 species